rnacentral:rRNA from 2 species
GGAUCAGAAUGCCACGGUGAAUACGUUCCCGGGCCUUGUACACACCGCCCGUCACACCAUGGGAGUGGGUUGCAAAAGAAGUAGGUAGCUUAACCUUCGGGAGGGCGCUUACCACUUUGUGAUUCAUGACUGGGGUGAAGUCGUAACAAGGUAACCGUAGGGGAACCUGCGGUUGGAUCACCUCCUUA